AGUAUGUUGGUGACGGUUGCCAUUAUAGUUGUACUGGUUGCUUUAGUUUGGAAGUUUACAGGGCGAUCGAAAGGGUUGCCUCCAGGUCCGACAUGUUUCCCUGUCAUCGGGGAUUCCGGACUUUUUAAACCAUCAGAAGCGGUACAGGCACACAGAAAUCUAAGAAAAAAGUAUGGAGACAUCUACACCUUAAUGAUCUUCCAUCACCAAAUGAUUAUAGUUCGCGGAUAUGAAAAUAUUCGAGAGUUACUAUGUACGCACAGAGACUUGUUUUCAGACCGGCCAAACACUAUUAUAAAUGGGGUUUACAACAAACAGAAAGGUUUGAUGUGGGCUUCUGGGGUACUCUGAAAAGAGCAAGCAACAUUUGGCAACAAUGAGAAAGUUUGGUUUUGGAACUCAUAAUUUACAAGGUCAAAUCAUGGAGGAAGUAGAUUGUCUUAUGGGUGAACUAGAAAAAAAGAUAAACAGUCAAUUAACAUAAAGAGCACUCUUGAUGCCUCUGUAUCUAAUGUUAUUUGUUCACUUUUGUGUGGAAGGAGAUUUGAUUAUGAAGAGAACCGGUUAUAUCCCUAGAAAAAAUGUUUGCCAGUACAAACCCAUCUUCACCUGUGUUCAUUUUUCCAACGUUACACCAUUUGCCAAUGUCUAGUUUUGGCCAAAUGGAGAAAAGUUUCAAAGAGAUAGACGAAUUUUACUUAGGAGAUGACUCAAGACCACAGACAAAAAUUUGUUGAAAAUCCCGUAUUUUCCCGCGACACCGUGAUGGUGUUUUAAUCCUUUCCGCGAUACACCGUCGCGGUAUUGUCAUCGCGGUGAUCGCGGGGCCACGAUUUUACCGCGAUGGUGUAAGACACCGUAACAGGUGGUUAUCUGUAUUAGGGAUUAAACCAAGAAGGAGAAAACAAGCGCUAUUUUAAUUAUUGUUCGAAUUUAGAAAUAAAUAUUAUUAGAAGAAAA
rnacentral:misc_RNA from 1 species